rnacentral:tmRNA from 1 species
GGGGGUGAUCGGUUUCGACUUCGGUGGUCGAGACCAGAGAAGCGAGCCGUGGUCCCCGGAUCCACGCAAAAGAGCCGGGAAACAACACAAAUGCCGACGACAACGUCGACCUCGCUCUCGCUGCCUAAGUAGCCAGAGCGACGUCCACCCGCUCCCAGCCCUGCGGAGCGGAACCGGGCGUCAUCCAGCAGGGCUCACCUCCCGGAGGGGUCAGCGGACCGGGAGGGACACCAAGCUGACUACGGCGGUCGCCGAGUGCCGGUGACGUGCGACCGCCCGACAACCCUUCCACCGGCUGCGCUCGGAGAAGCCUGGUCGAGAAGCUGAAGGACGCGGGUUCGAUUCCCGCCACCUCCACCA